UCCUAUCUCCCUUUUCUUACUCAAUUUUGAAUGACAAAGCCUGCAGUUAAAUACCACGGUUUGCUGGGGUUACUGCAAAACUUUAAGAAGGAUCACUAGCUCCAAAAGAAGUCAGUGAAUGUUGUGGGAGGAUAUUCUUCUGGAUGUCGAUCCUUUAAGAAAAGAAAGAAGAAUAAGAAGAACAAGAAAAGAGUGCAAAGUACUGGGGCACCCAUACCCAG
rnacentral:lncRNA from 1 species